rnacentral:rRNA from 1 species
GAAAUGACUGGCUCAGAUUGACGCUGGCGGCAGGCCUAACACAUGCAAGUCGAACGGUAACAGGAAGCAGCUUGCUGCUUCGCUGACGAGUGGCGGACGGGUGAGUAAUGUCUGGGAAACUGCCUGAUGGAGGGGGAUAACUACUGGAAACGGUGGCUAAUACCGCAUAACGUCGCAAGACCAAAGAGGGGGACCUUCGGGCCUCUUGCCAUCAGAUGUGCCCAGAUGGGAUUAGCUUGUUGGUGAGGUAACGGCUCACCAAGGCGACGAUCCCUAGCUGGUCUGAGAGGAUGACCAGCCACACUGGAACUGAGACACGGUCCAGACUCCUACGGGAGGCAGCAGUGGGGAAUAUUGCACAAUGGGCGCAAGCCUGAUGCAGCCAUGCCGCGUGUAUGAAGAAGGCCUUCGGGUUGUAAAGUACUUUCAGCGGGGAGGAAGGUGUUGUGGUUAAUAACCGCAGCAAUUGACGUUACCCGCAGAAGAAGCACCGGCUAACUCCGUGCCAGCCGCCGCGGUAAUUA